CAGAACAGAACGGCACGGCAGAGAACAGAACGGCACAGAACAGAACGGCACGGCACCUGAGACACCGCAGCGCCCUCCGCACCCCGCUGAGCGUCACUUGUGCCCCGUCCCCAGCCGGUCCCGCUCCGCCCUCAGGAGUACCACAUUAAGAGAAAGACAUGAAGUAUUUUUAAUGAAAUUCUGCUUUUGAUCAAGCUGCUAAAAAUGGAUGUGAACAUUUUCUCCUGUGAGUUUUUGAUGAAUGGACAUUGACAUGGACUACGAAAGACCCAACGUUGAAACUAUCAAGUGUGUGGUGGUUGGAGAUAAUGCAGUGGGAAAGACUCGUCUGAUCUGUGCCAGAGCCUGCAACACAACCUUGACUCAGUAUCAGCUGCUGGCAACGCACGUCCCGACCGUCUGGGCCAUUGAUCAGUACCGUGUCUGCCAGGAGGUCCUUGAACGCUCAAGAGAUGUUGUGGAUGAAGUGAGUGUUUCCCUCAGGCUGUGGGAUACUUUUGGGGACCACCACAAAGACAGGCGCUUUGCUUAUGGAAGGUCCGACGUUGUUGUUCUGUGCUUUUCAAUUGCUAAUCCUAAUUCCCUGAAUCAUGUGAAAACAAUGUGGUAUCAAGAAAUCAAGCACUUCUGUCCUCGCACACCUGUCAUUCUGGUGGGCUGCCAGCUGGAUCUCCGCUAUGCAGACCUCGAGGCUGUUAACAGAGCCAGGCGGCCUCUGGCAAGGCCAAUAAAAAGGGGAGACAUUUUGCCACCAGAAAGAGGCAGAGAGGUUGCCAAGGAACUCGGGAUACCCUACUAUGAAACCAGUGUAUUUGACCAGUUUGGAAUUAAAGAUGUGUUUGACAAUGCAAUUAGAGCUGCCCUGAUCUCCAGAAGACACCUGCAAUUCUGGAAAUCUCAUUUGAAGAAGGUCCAAAAACCUUUGCUUCAGGCUCCAUUCCUACCUCCAAAAGCCCCUCCUCCAGUUAUCAAAAUUCCUGAGUGUCCCACGCCGAGCAUGAAUGAAGCUGGAUAUUUAUUGGACAGCCCACUGUGUGCAGAUGUCAUGUUUGUUCUUCAGGAGCAGGACUGCAUUUUUGCUCACAAGAUUUACCUAGCUACCUCCUCUUCAAAGUUUUAUGACCUUUUCUUAAUGGAAUGUGAGGAAAGUCCAUACUUGGAUGAAACACAGUGUAAUAAAGAAAAUACAAAUAAGGAUGUUCUGGCCAGUCACCUUGAGACAAACAGUGACAGUGACGAGGCAUCCUUGAAAUCUCUUGAUGUUAAAAUUCCCCCACCAGAAAGCAGUGAGUCUUUAAACACGCUAGAAGCUGAAUCUGGUGAAACAAACUCUGCAGCAAGAUCUCUGUCCUCCUGGGGUAAGGGGUUUGUUAGUGUGCACAAGGAAAUGCAAGUGAAUCCUGUCUCAAAGCGGACGUGUCCUGUAACUGUGGUAAAAAUGGAUUCCUCUGUGCAGGCCGCACCUUUUAAAACUGUUUUGCAGUUUUUAUACACAGGCCAACUGGAUGAAAACGAAAAAGACCUCACCAGACUGGCUCAGAUUGCUGAAAUCUUGGAAGUAUUUGACUUGCGAAUGAUGGUGGAGAAUAUUAUGAAUAAAGAAGCCUUCAUGAAUCAAGAGAUUACUAAAGCAUUUCAUGUCAGAAAAGCUAAUCGGAUAAAAGAGUGCCUUUGCAAAGGGACAUUUUCUGAUGUGACAUUUAAAUUGGACGAUGGAAGCAUCAAGGCCCACAAGCCACUGCUGAUCUGCAGCUGUGAGUGGAUGUCUGCUAUGUUUGGAGGAUCAUUUAUUGAAAGCUCCAACAGUGAGGUAGCUCUGCCCAACAUAAACAAGACCUCCAUGCAAGCAGUUUUAGAUUAUUUGUAUACCAAGCAACUGUCCUCCAGUCAGGAACUGGACACCCUUGAAUUAAUUGCAUUGGCAAAUAGGUUUUGCCUUCCUCACCUGAUUGCUCUAGCAGAGCAGCACGCAGUGCAAGAGCUGACAAAGGCCUCCAUGAGCGGCGUUGCAAUAGAUGGAGAAGUCCUCUCCUAUUUGGAACUGGCACAGUUUCACAAUGCUAACCAGCUGGCAGCUUGGUGCUUGCACUACAUCUGCACCAAUUACAACAGCGUUUGCUCCAAGUUCCGCAAGGAAAUCAAAGCUAAAUCUUCAGAUAAUCAAGAAUAUUUUGAGAGGCAUCGGUGGCCGCCUGUGUGGUAUUUAAAGGAAGAAGAUCACUACCAGCGAGUUAAAAAGGAGAGAGAAAAGGAAGAUGUUGCACUGAACAAACAUCAUUCAAAGCGGAAGUGGUGCUUCUGGAAUUCCUCUGCUGUAGUUGCCUGAACAAAGCAAAUAAGUGGAAAUCCUUAGCCAGAUGUUACUCUUAUUGUUAGAAAUAAGAUAAAGUUCAGGUUUUCAGGAAACUGUGUUCCACUUGUGCAUUUAUUACUUCUAGGGUCAAAAGCACAAGCUCACCGAAAAUGAGCCUGGAACAGCUCCUUGAAGUCAUAUGUAUAUUUUUGACUGGUAAGCAGAUAAAUGUCAACCAUUAUUACAUUACUUUUUAUACAAAAAAAACCAAAUCCAGCAUUAAUGUUUCAAUCUCCAGUUGGGAAAUAUUUUUAUACUGUCUGGUGUAUUUUGUUCGGAUAAAAUUCUGGAUACUGUUUUGUUUUACAGACCACAAAAUAACCAUGUAGCAGCUUUGUAAUUAGAUUUUAACUAUUUUUACUAUGCGAGUACAGUGGAAUAGACAAUCUUCAGUCAGAAGAGACUGCUUUUAGAUUAUCUCAUAAAAAGUCAUCUUAGGAAAAAAAAUCUAGCUGUCUACUAUAGGUUGUCUUUUUCAAACUAAGUACUGUGCACUGGUAAUAUAAUUAGAUGGUUAUUUCCCCUUUCUAAAGCAAAGGGUUAGAAUAAGAUCCAAUAACUGCAAGAUAUAGAGUGCUUGAUCUUUGCUCAGCUGAAUAAUAGACAGUAUAAUUACCUGUUCAACUGCAGGCAAAUGUAUUUCUAAUAUUUGCCAUGUAAGUGCAAAUAAUUAUGACUAUGUGGGCCAUGUGAAAUCUAGUGAUUCUAAGUAUUCAGAGGUUUUAUAUGUCUAGAUCAAAGAGGAUAUUUCUAAAAUCAUUUAGAAGGGCUUAUUAAUUUAUAUCCUUAUACAAGUAUGGAUCUGAAUGCAAAAAGCAGUUACACUGCUUGCAUUUGAAUUACUGCAUGGCAGUUACCUUGUUCUGCAGGAUCUUCACCAUGCAGCCGUUCCUCAUGCUGAAUUCCUUUUUGCUUCAGUGCAAGCAAAUGAAAGGGCUGCACAAACAAGUAGAUGUUAUCUAGUGUUCCAGCAUUUUGUAAGUGAAGAAGGGUCUUCACACACAAGAUUACUUCAGUUUGAUUCAAAUUCUUUUAUAGCUUUUCCCAGGUAGAACUGAGGGUUUUAGGUUAUUUUUAAGUAGGUGAUACAUUUCCUGUGGAAGUAGAUGUUCCCAGAAUGCUGGGGGCAGACUGAUGGCAGAAAGGCAGGAAUUCUGCACAAGUGGUGCAGGACAAGCAAAAGCUUCCAGUGUUUCCAAAUAGCCUGUGUGUUUAUGACUUUUUAUCAACCAUUACUCUAAAGCUGCAGUGUUACACUAGAUUACAUAAGGAUGAGCGCAUUUUUUAAAAGACCAAAACUAAAAUACAUAGACUGUAGAAGAUACACAUGCAAUCCUGUGCAGUGUCUCAGGCACAACUCUGUAACCAAGGUAGUAUUGUGUAUUAGGUUUGUUAAUGCUGUUCUGUGCUGGCAGCUCAGCACACCAAUGUGAAAAGCUGUUUGUUUGUUCGUGGUUUUUUUCUCUGUAUCCAAAGGCAAGGCAGUACAGUCACCCCCCAGCACUGUAGGUCAGGAGAGGCUUUGGCCUGAAAGCCAUAAACACCUCGACAUAUUUGCAUUCUGCACAGACUCAUUGCCAGGCUGAGGCUACCACAGCUGGGUCACCAGCACGGGAGGAGAGGCUGCUCUACAAACCUGUGUGAGGAGAGCAAGUGAGAGAUUCCUACCCCUCUGAGAUCCAUCACCACCUGGUGAUAAAGAAGGGCUAUAAACGAUGGUUGCAAAUAUGUCUCCUUAAUUCUUGGUCAGUGACAAUGUGGACAAGAACCUGGAAUGAGAGAAGGCAUGUCAAGACAGAAAAAUAGCUGUUGUCAUAAAAUGUUAACCAGUCACAUUUUAAAUGUGUAAAGCUGGUCUUUUCUAGACAAUUUUUGCAAGAUAUCAUGCAAAGAAUGCCACAUUAAGAGCUUUGAAAAAAUCCACAAAGCAACGCCAUUGACACUGAAAACAGAAUUUCUGCCAGCAAAUUUUUCUGCACCAGAACAGAAACCAGUUUCUGUGGCUUCUUACCUGCAAGUAGCCCACCAAAGCCAGAAAUAGCCAGUUGUUGUGCAAGAUGGGAGUGGCCAGACUUCAGCCACAACUCCCUGAUUUCAUUCACUGAAAACCUGCUCUUCACAGUCCUUUAGUCAGAUCAGGCCUCAAAGCGAGCACAGGAUAUUCCAGAGCAACAAGGACCUUACCCCAGCACAGGAAGGAUCUCCAGCCAGUUUCCUUCCAAGUGGCAGCAGACACUGGAGCCAGGCUCUGUGGCAGUCAGUGCAAUUUUUCACCUAAAAUGAGACUCCCGACCUGCUGACUUCUGCCACUUCACACCAGUUCAAUUCUCAACUCCAGCAGACACUGCCUGGCACCUUCCCUGUAGUGGGAGCUUCUCACUUUUGUCCAGAGUAGCUGAGAACCCUUUAAACAGCAAACUGCAACUGUCCCUCUAAGGUGCUGUCCUUGGGUUUUCUGGCUUUGUGCCCUUAGUUUAAGUUACAGACGUUUUUCCAUGUAUUUCUUACAUAUACUUUUAGAAGUUUAGGCUCUGUCUACUCUUGCUUUUAAAACUGAAGUUGUUCUUUCUAUUCCAUAAAUUCUCCUCCUUCUUGGAACACAAGCUUUUUGUAAACUAUAAGGUGUGGGCAACAAGUGUGAUUAAAUCUAGCUGUGGGUGUGCUCACAUCGAGCACACUUAUUUUUGUGCAAGUCCAUCAGUGACUGAGAGCUUGUGCAGCACCUCAAGUAGGACAGAACAAGGCACAGUCUGAGCCAUCAGACACUGCCCCAGUCCUGUUUUUUUGUGAAAGGAUGAAAAGGAUCAGCAUAUCCUCCCAGAUAUGCUGAUAAACAGAUUUCAGUCACAGCACAUCACUUGAUCUGCCAUAAAUGCCUUUUGGGAAGUGCCCAGGUUCAGCUGAGAGCCAUGUUGAGGCUUAGGACCAGGAUUUUUUUAAUAGAGACCCAAACCUUAGAGAGAACACAUAUAUUUGUCAAUGGAGUAUAUAUGGAGCCCAUUGUUGCUAAACUAAUCUGGUUAACAAAACCCACAGCUUUUCCUAAAGACAGAUUCAGAGGAUUUAAAGUUCAGGGAGAAUAGCACCUUUUGUCCUUGCCCUGCCUCACUGGCAUCCUGUUGGGCAGACUACUGUGACAUUUACUGCCUUUUGAACGGGUAGGAAGAAAAAGAAAAAUAAUAUUGAGACUGGGCUGAAGUGCUCAUGGUAGGGAGCAGGAGAAGAAACCAGGCCUUGUUAGUAGAUGCAGAAUCAUCCCCAUGAGAGGAUUCACCUGCAUUCACCUCAGCUGAGAAGGGUCUUUGCAAGCCUGGUGCACACACUCAGCUCCAGGUGCUCCCCUGGUCCCACCACCCUCUGACCUCCAGCUGCAGGGAAGCACUGGAGCAGCUCAUUAGGCAGGGCCACAGGUAUUGGAGCCUGCCUCCCAUCAAAUCUGCCUUUGCAUUGCUAGCUAGAACAGAGCUGUGUGGCUGGUUGUGAAAGAGCAGCAUAUUCCCUGAGAAAUAGGAGGCUCCCUUCCUCUUUUGAGAUCUUUUACCUGCUUGUUGUAAGGGUUUUGAGGAUUGCCAGGAGAAGAGGAAAACAUGUCAAACACAAAAUGCAUUGCAACAUCUAAAGAAGUGUACUAUGAUAUACACUUUGACAUGUUCUUCUGUUGUGGAGUCAUCUGCCACAGCCCUGUCUGAAAUUUGGAGCUUGGAUCUCAAAGAGGGCAUCUCCUCAGAGGAUCUUGAGGAAGAAAGUGCUGCAAGCCUUGGCCCCAAGCAGCAAGGAAAGGAGCACAACAGUGCCUAGAGCCAAUAAAACUUACACCAGAUGUACACCCCAUCCCUAGUGAGGUGUCUGAAGGCCAGUGAAGGUAGGAACUGGAAACUAACACACAAUUAGUACACACCUUUGAACUUUAUUUGAACAUUUAACAAUAUUCUCACCUGUUCAGUUAAAUGCCAGGGAGCUUUAAAAAGCUUCUGCUUUAAUUAUGAAAAAGUCUGGAGCCAUGUGGCAUCUCAGUUUAUGAUUACAAUUCCUAGGAGUUCACAACAGCCAACAUCUUGGCAAAUUCUUGGGCCUCCAAGAUAAUAACAAAAACACAGAGCAAGGGACUUAUCUCAAAUAAUGAUUUGCAGCUACCUUGAAAAACUCAAAAUCAGUUUGGCCAUCCAUACUUUUGUAAGCUGCUGUUCUUCAGCGUAUCUCACAGUGUCCUCUGGCACAUGCUCAAGUAAAACUGUAACUGACAUGACACUGAAACAACUCAAACUUGAGAAUUUCCUACCAUAUCAGGAACAGCCAUUUAGAAGUUUGGGUUAGCACCUUUUUUAGCCAAGUGGUGCCUUUCCAGUGCAUUCCAAAGAAAACAAGAGUCCUUCUGUAGAGCAGCUGUGGCCUGGAAAUAAGUUCAGUCCUUCACUGGGGUUAAAGCUUUAUUUAUAGAAAGUGGACUGCAUUAAUUGCAGCAAUAUUUGCAUUGUAUUUGAACUCAGGACUAACAGGUUAAUAUUUACAUUUAGAUAACACUUAAACCAAAACAAACUGAAUACAGCCGAUCUUAAGAGCAAAAAGGCAGACAUACAAAUGGACAGACUUAAGAGUAAAAGUAAUCACAAUUAUUUCUCUCUGGAUGACUUAGUCCAAAGGUCUAUUUCUUAAUCAGAUUAGCAGGAAGAGUGGAUUUGUCCAAAUCAUCAAAAUAUGGAUGGUUCAAUGCCAUUUUGCCAGAAAUCCUUUUUGCAGGAUCAUAAAUUAACAUUUUCUGGAAGAAGAAAAAAAAAAUCACAUUUACUUCCUCAGGAAAAGUGAGCAAAAAUCAUGUUAAAUAGAUAUUUAACAAUAAUAAUGAUAAAGUAACUACAAAGACAUUUCCCCCCCUUUGUCACGUGCUCUCCUAGUUGGAGAGUUAUUUCCCCUACAAGUCAGUAGCAGUGUAUAACACCUCAGAAGAUGAAGAAUCCCAUUUAUCCCCUGUUCAAUGACCAAGCCCUUGCCUGUGUCUGGGUACCACAUCCACUGAAUGAAAUCCAGAACCAGGCAACCAAGCUGCAAUAAUUGUCUCAGCCUCUUACUGAGGGAAAUUAAGAAGCUUUAGGCUGGUGAAGCCCUAAAUGUUUACAAGGACAAGUGGUCUGACACUUGUUUUGUUACUGACACUGAGCAAAGUGAUGUCAAAUGGCUUCAGCUCAGGUUGGUGACUUGACAAUUAAAAUAAGAGAAUGCACACUCAGUUUUAAAAUCCAAAUUGGAAAGCAGAGUAUAAGGAGGUAGAACUGAAGAAAACAGUUAACACUUGAGUCUCUUUGCAAUAAAAUACUUAAAUUGAAUACCUCAAUAAAGGUGAUAAGAGCAAAAAGAGGGGGUGUCACCAUCAUUAAAAUAACCCCCAGAAAUUCCUAAAACAGAAGGAAAUUUUGUUAUCCUAGCCAUUAAAAAGAAACUAUCUAUAGCUUAUACAAGGGGUCAAAACAGGAAUGAAGCAUUCAGCAGUUUUGUACUAGACCCAAAAUGAGCAAAGUCUUUUUAUUUCUCCUUACUAAAGGACAGACCAUUCCAAAUUCAAGUAAUCAGGAUUCUACCAGCUGCCUCUCCCCUGUCUGCACAACAAAUCUGUUUUCCAGAACAAAACUUAACCAGUCUUACUCUGCCCAGUACUCAGUCCUGACAUUUAAUUAUCUUUACACUUCAUUCUACAGGGAGUCUUCCAGGUUGAUUUAAACCACUGAAUUUGCAUUUAUAUUCUCUGAACUUCUGCCAAAUGCAAUGCUGCCUCUAGAUUUAACCUUGCACAUCCAGUUUUACCUUGUGGCAGGUUCCCAUUACCUAUACCUAGAACAGUGUCCUGUAGUUAAUUCUGAUAUCAGAAGUUUUCUCAAAAUUCACUCAAAGAGAGCAAUUUCUCUGUAAAAGGGAUGCUGUGACACUGAGACUACAGCACCACAACUGAUAGAGCAAGUGAAGGAAACCUCUCUGAGCAGUCUGGAACAUUAGUUUUCCCUGGCACCUACUGUCCUGGUAAUUCAAAGUUUUUAAGGACAGCCAUCAAGUGCUUUGAAAUGCUGGCAGUAGAAGUCAUGUAGCUAAUGAUGGUCUUAAACUCACCACCUCACUCAUGCAAUUUCAAUUACACAUUUUUGUGUUAAGACAUUUUCAAAGACAUCUCCUUUACAUACAUCUGCAAUAGUCUACAGAAAAAAAUUUAAACAUUGAAACAUUUUCAUUGACAUACAUAAGCUUGAACAAACUAUUUAGUUUUGUUGCCUUUAAAGUUAUAUUAUGGGUUUAAAAGCUUAAAAGUGCCAUAGGGAAACUUAAAGGGAUUCCAGUCAGGAAUACCAUGUCACCAGGCACUAAUAGGAAACUAAAAUGUUAACUUGGAUUAAGGCAGAAUUGUACAAGACUUUAGAGAAUUUAAUAUGCUUUGAGACUAGAAUUAUGUUAACACCAUGAGGAACUAGUACUUUUUUUUUGUCUUUAUUAGCAGCAGCCCCAACCACUGGCUUCAGAGUGAAGCCCCCACCCAGGCUCAGAUGAGGCCUUGGCAGGUCCUUUUCAUGCAGCUGUUUCAACAGGAUUCUCCUGGCUGUUCUUUUCAUUUUAGUUAGUAAAUACAGUCAGCAACAAUUAUUUCAAUUGUCAGGGGUCUUAUCUCUGUAAGACAACUGUGCUGCAAGGUUCAGAGCUAUCCAGGACAACUACAUGUUCAACAAAUGCUCAGGCUGUCAGUGUCAGCUGGGGCUCUGUCCUGCCAAAAAACUGUGAGAAAUUGUGAUCAUUUGAGCUUUUUGGGUAACACUGGUUCCUUCAGAGUAUUCUGCCACAUUACCAGUAUGGGUAAUGCACUGGUGCACAGGUACUGCUGUAUGAGGGGGUUCUGAGGUGUCAGCUUGUCCUGAGACACAGAGCACCCAACCCACACCCCCGUCUGUAAAUCUGCACUGUACAAAUGCAGUUUAGAACAGCCAAAGGACAGCCCAGGUACAUUAUUAUACCUCAGGACAUCUAAGAUGUGACCUAAAUUAGCCCUCAGUGGCAGCACAUGAGCUGGAGAGCACUAAAUGGAAAAGACUGAUGAAGAGCUUGCCAAUUAAAAGCCUGGUGUGGUAGUUUAAUUGCCUGGCUACAGAAGUAAAGGAAACUCACACUAAACACAAAAGAUACCAGUUGUAAGUUAAUACACCACAGCCGAGAACAUUUAGCUCCAAAUUUAAGGACAAUUGAGACAGACACUACAGACAGACUUGAACUAAGUUUCUUGUCUCAGCUCAUCAAUACAUUCAGCUGUUUCUAUCCUUGUUUAUUCAGUUAAGACAUCAUGAAAGUUUAACCAAGAUGAGCCCACCAAGAUUAAUCCACAUGCUACCAUAAAAUAAACAUUUCCAACUGGCUCAGCAGUCACACAGCCACAUCACAACUGGUGCUGGCAGCAGAGAAGUGACAGCUACUUUAUAGGCAGAAGCCUUCACUUAAACCACUUUGUAAAGACUCAUCCUCACUUUUAAGUUGUACCUGGUUUAUUAUUAUAAAAAAGCUGAGGCAUAAUUGCUUCAUGUGAAAAAUAGUCUGGUAUUACUUGUGAAAGGAAUUAAUGUCACACAAGGUAUCAGUUCUACAAGAAUGAAGGCUCAUACCACUGCUGAUAGCUUGAAGAUCUCCACAUUUUCCUUCUAGCUAUGACUGAUGAGUACAGCUUUGUGUAUCCUAGAGUAUUUCACACAGCCCACUCAGGUUCUUAAUCAGCAGUUUAGGACAGACUACUUACAGCCAGCAGAUCAAGUCCAUCUUUAUCCAAGUUUUUGACAUGUGUUUCAAGGCUGACAGGUUUCCAUUUUGGGAAUGUGUUUUUAUAGUCUUGCAGGGAUUCCACCUCAGGCCAUACCUCGUUGUUGGGGGUCCCUAAAGCUCUGUGCAAGCAUAAGCAAAAUGUUAAGAAAUCUGUUAUGUGCUAUUACACUUUUAAUUACACACAACUGUUGUGUGGUGCCACACAGGCAGCAAGCAGAGGUUCAGCCUUACACACCUGAAGAUUCUGAAGAUCUGGUCAAUCUCUGAAUCCCCAUGGAAAAGUGGCUUUUUAGUUGCCAGCUCAGCAAAUAUGGUUCCUAUGCUCCAGAUAUCUACAGGAGUAGAGUAACGAGCAGAUCCCAGCAGCACUUCUGGAGACCUGUACCACAGGGUCACUACCUGUGCAACAAGGAAAGGUUCAGUUUGUGGAAUCAGGUCUUUUAAUUGACUGCAAGAUAAAUGGCUCAUUUGUUAUUAAGCAGCAUUCACAGGGUUUUGCUAAAAAUAGCCAGUACUGUAAGUUUUAUUGGAGGUGCAAUACUAGUUUCAAGCUUCAUUUGUAGACAAACCAACUCCAUUGCAGUAGCUUCUACUUCAAGAAAAGCAGCUGCCUGCACAGCUUCCCUAAGAGCAGGAAUCCUUUGGCACCCAGCCACAAAACCCCUCCGACCCAAGUGCUGUGCAAAGCAAAAAUGCCUUUAUAAGAAAGUGAGCGACAAGUUUGAGUCCAUCUGACUCACUGAGUGGGAUUCAUAAAAUGUUUUGGAACCUUAGAGCAAAACCACAGUCAGAAGUGGAAAACUGUUUUGGAAAACAAAACAUAACUUUUUCAUAGUUUUGUUAGCUUAUGGCUUGAAAAAAAGCUAAUUUUUAGCUGUUUCAGAAUCAGUUCUUAGCAGGAAGCAAGUACACACUAUCCAAAGCACCAGAGGUAUGUCCCAACUCACUUCAUGCGUGUAGACCCGCACUGGAAUUCCAAAGGCUCGGGCCAAUCCAAAGUCUGCCAGUUUAAUCACUCCCUUGUCAUCUAUCAGGAGAUUCUGGGGUUUCAAGUCUCUGUGCAGAACUCUUCUUGAGUGGCAGAAGACAAU